UACGUAGGGACCGAGCGUUGUCCGGAUUCAUUGGGCGUAAAGAGCUUGUAGGCGGUUUGUCGCGUCUGCUGUGAAAUUUCGGGGCUCAACCCCGAACUUGCAGUGGGUACGGGCAGACUAGAGUGUGGUAGGGGAGACUGGAAUUCCUGGUGUAGCGGUGAAAUGCGCAGAUAUCAGGAGGAACACCGGUGGCGAAGGCGGGUCUCUGGGCCGUAACUGACGCUGAGGAGCGAAAGCAUGGGGAGCGAACAGG
rnacentral:rRNA from 1 species